rnacentral:rRNA from 1 species
UACGUAGGGUGCAAGCGUUAAUCGGAAUUACUGGGCGUAAAGCGCACGUAGUCGGCUUUGCAAGUCGGUUGUGAAAUCCCCGGGCUCAACCUGGGAACUGCAUCCGAGACUGCAUUGCUAGAGUAUGGGAGAGGGAAGCGGAAUUUCUGGUGUAGCAGUGAAAUGCGUAGAUAUCAGAAGGAACAUCAGUGGCGAAGGCGGCUUCCUGGACCAAUACUGACGAUCAGGUGCGAAAGCGUGGGGAGCAAACAGG